rnacentral:misc_RNA from 1 species
UUAAAUAAAAAUCGGUGUUGUUGCUGCCUUUCGUGGUGACGCGUCGGAAUUGAGUCGUCUUGUCUUCGGUUAAGUGGCUUAAAAAUUUUAUAUGAUUUUCGAACGUAUUUAAAUUGCUUACGGUACGUUUGAGAUAUCGAAUAUUUUAUUAGGUUCGGUCAUCCUUAUGACUCGCGCCUAUAAUUUUUUCAUU